GCCUUGGUAGACUCCAUAGUCGAGCCACUGUACAAAGAUAAGGACUGUUCUUUAAGUGUGCUGUAUAUAUUGGAGGCAUCUGCUUACACAGAUGACUACCAGAGUUACCUGUCAGACCUUUUAUUUCAUUACACUUGUGUCUGCUACUUAGCCAUUGGUCCCACAUGGAUAUUUCUUAGACUCAAUUCAUCAGCUAUUCUGGAGGCAAGCAGCUGAAUUUGGAAUAUACUCUCAACUUUGGCUUCUCUCUUCUCACCACUCACUCCAGGAUUCUGGAAGAGUGGAAGAAAUUUUAGGAGGUGAAGAAAAAUCCAGGACAUCAAUUCAAGGACUUCCAUGAGGUUUUACAGCAUAAUCACAAAUCCAUGGAAUGUUUGAGGCUGGAAAUCAUCGUGCUCUACUAUCUGCUGCUGAAGUAAAUUGAAGGACCCAGACAGCUUUUGAAUACACCCAGGGAUAGAGAUUCCACAACUUCUCAACAAAAAGGAGGUCUAAUGAGGCUGGAUCUGGAAUACUGUGUCCAGUUUUGGGCUCCUGAGACAGAAACAUGGGGUUCCUGGAGCUGGUCCAGUGAAGGGCAACCAAGAUGAUGAGGGGACUGGAGCAUCUCUCUUAGGAGGAAAGGCAGAGAGAGUUCAGCCCUCAAGGGAGUGUAUUGAGAGGAUGGGCCAGGCUCUGCUCGGUGGUGCCAAGCAAUAGGACAAGAGGCAAAAAGCAGAAACUGAUGCACAGGAAGCUCUACAUGAACACAAGGAAGAGCUUCUGUUCUGUGUGUGUGACUAUGAACUGGAACAGGUGACCCAGAGAGACUGUGGAAACUCCUUCAAUUGAGAUAUUCAAGGACCAUCUGGAUGCCACAGUGUGCACUUGGAAGAUCCUUCUUGAGCAGGGAUGCAAUUAGCCGACCAGAAAUCGCUUCCAACAUUAACCAUUCAGUGAUUGUGACACAGUCUGUUCAGCUCAAGAUUUCUGUGAAGCCCAAAUCUGACUUUAUUGCUUUAUGACUAGUUGUGUCAUUGAUUCCAAAGGGAAAAAAGUUAGCAAGGAAAGGAAAAUAUGGGAAAUAUUCCUGAGAUGCAGCUCUGUAUUAAACAGACUUAAUGAAGAUUAAACAGAGUUAAAGUGAGAAACACAUUCUUUUCUUUAAAUGAG